rnacentral:tRNA from 1 species
CAGGUGUAGUUUAACGGUAGAACAUCAGCCUUCCAAGCUGAUAGCGGGGGUUCGAUUCCCCUCACCUG